rnacentral:rRNA from 1 species
UGAGUAACCUGCCCUUAACUCUGGGAUAAGCCUGGGAAACUGGGUCUAAUACUGGAUAUGACUCCUCAUCGCAUGGUGGGGGGUGGAAAGCUUUUUGUGGUUUUGGAUGGACUCGCGGCCUAUCAGCUUGUUGGUGAGGUAAUGGCUCACCAAGGCGACGACGGGUAGCCGGCCUGAGAGGGUGACCGGCCACACUGGGACUGAGACACGGCCCAGACCUCCGUACGGGAGCAG